GGGGAAUUUUCCGCAAUGGGCGAAAGCCUGACGGAGCAAUACCGCGUGAGGGAGGAAGGCUCUUGGGUUGUAAACCUCUUUUCUCAAGGAAGAAGAAAGUGACGGUACUUGAGGAAUAAGCAUCGGCUAACUCCGUGCCAGCAGCCGCGGUAAUACGGAGGAUGCAAGCGUUAUCCGGAAUGAUUGGGCGUAAAGCGUCCGCAGGUGGGUGUUCAAGUCUGCUGUCAAAGGUCGGAGCUCAACUCCGGAAAGGCAGUGGAAACUGAACAGCUAGAGUGCGGUAGGGGUAGAGGGAAUUCCCAGUGUAGCGGUGAAAUGCGUAGAGAUUGGGAAGAACACCGGUGGCGAAAGCGCUCUACUGGACCGCAACUGACGCUCAGGGACGAAAGCUAGGGGAGCGAAUGGGAUUAGAUACCCCAGUAGUCCUAGCCGUAAACGAUGGAUACUAGGUGUUGCUGGUAUCGACCCCAGCAGUAUCGUAGCUAACGCGUUAAGUAUCCCGCCUGGGGAGUACGCGCGCAAGCGUGAAACUCAAAGGAAUUGACGGGGGCCCGCACAAGCGGUGGAGUAUGUGGUUUAAUUCGAUGCAACGCGAAGAACCUUACCAGGACUUGACAUGUCGCGAAUUUCUGGGAGACCAGGAAGUGCCUUAGGGAGCGCGAACACAGGUGGUGCAUGGCUGUCGUCAGCUCGUGUCGUGAGAUGUUGGGUUAAGUCCCGCAACGAGCGCAACCCUCGUCCUUAGUUGCCAGCAUUAGGUUGGGCACUUUAGGGAGACUGCCGGUGACAAACCGGAGGAAGGUGGGGAUGACGUCAAGUCAGCAUGCCCCUUACGUCCUGGGCUACACACGUACUACAAUGCUACGGACAAAGGGCCGCCAGACAGCGAUGUCGAGCAAAUCCCAUAAACCGUGGCUCAGUUCAGAUUGCAGGCUACAACUCGCCUGCAUGAAGGCGGAAUCGCUAGUAAUCGCAGGUCAGCAAUACUGCGGUGAGUACGUUCCCGGGCCUUGUACACACCGCCCGUCACACCAUGGAAGCUGGUAGUGCCCGAAGUCGUUACCCUAACAGCAAGGAGGGGGAUGCCGAAGGCAGGACUGGUGACUGGGGUGAAGUCGUAACAAGGUAGCCGUACCGGGAGGUGUGGCUGGAUCACCUCCUU
rnacentral:rRNA from 1 species